rnacentral:rRNA from 1 species
GAUGAACGCUGGCGGCGUGCCUAAUACAUGCGAGUCGAGCGAACAGACGAGGAGCUUGCUCCUCUGACGUUAGCGGCGGACGGGUGAGUAACACGUGGAUAACCUACCUAUAAGACUGGGGUAACUUCGGGAAACCGGAGCUAAUACCGGAUAAUAUAUUGAACCGCAUGGUUCAAUAGUGAAAGACGGUUUUGCUGUCACUUAUAGAUGGAUCCGCGCCGCAUUAGCUAGUUGGUAAGGUAACGGCUUACCAAGGCAACGAUGCGUAGCCGACCUGAGAGGGUGAUCGGCCACACUGGAACUGAGACACGGUCCAGACUCCUACGGGAGGCAGCAGUAGGGAAUCUUCCGCAAUGGGCGAAAGCCUGACGGAGCAACGCCGCGUGAGUGAUGAAGGUCUUCGGAUCGUAAAACUCUGUUAUUAGGGAAGAACAAAUGUGUAAGUAACUAUGCACGUCUUGACGGUACCUAAUCAGAAAGCCACGGCUAACUACGUG